CGACUAUUCUAUCUUCCUAAAUUUAACUUAAUAUGAUAUUGAUAAUUAUGUACCUUUUAUAUUUUAACCUUAGCCUUAAAUUUAUAUACACAUUGAAAUAUUUAUAAGUAGAAUAAGUACGCAAUAUCAAAUGUUGAAUCGUAAUUCAGUCAGUAAGUAAAAAUUUACAUUAAAUGAGAUAUUUCCGAUUUUGAUUCCAUUAUAAGAUUUUAUUUAAAGUUAAAGGUAAAUGAAGGAAAUUAAAAGUUAAAUGUAUUUGAAGUAAAAUAACAGGACAUUUUUUUUAUUUUAUUUUGAUCAUAAAGCAUAAUGUAUAUGAUUUCUUAUAAUUUAUUAAAGUGAAUAAAAAGCAACUGUCAUUUUCGAUUUCAUAAAUUUCGAGGACAAGUCGGGUUAGUGACACAUGGAUAUAUGUUGUUAGGCUGCAAAAGGUAAUAUAGAGCACAUUAUCUCAAUAGAGAAGGAUUAUGCUGAUGAACAGGUGAAAUAAUUGUGACACCAGAAUGAUAAUGCUAAUCGACAAAAUUAAGAAAAGGGAAGUACAAAAUUGGAUGAAAAGUGUUUUGGCAAUUAAUAAGACAACGGAAGUAUUACGUCCUGCUGUUAAAGGAAGAUUCGAACAAUUUAUAUCAGGUUUACCGGAUGUAGAAAAUGAACAUUUGGAAAUAUUUUGCCUAUGCUUAGAUAAGAAUGACGUCGUGUACUUCAAAAACAGCAGUACGCAAAAGAAUGCACGAAGAAAUUGGGAAUGCACACAUCACCUAUGCCAAAAUUUAAUGGAACGACUGCUUGAUAAUUUUGAAAAUGGAUCUCAAAAACAUCUUUGGAAGUUCAAAAUUACAAAACCGGUAGGACCUGUAGAUGACCUGAAUAAAAGUACUCAAACAUACAACCAAGAACUGGAUGGCAAAUGGACUUUGAUGAAACUAUUUAUGUACGGAGAAAUGGGUAAAAUUCAUCGUUCCAGUUUAAAUGAUCUUGACUUUUCUCAAACUAUCAAACUAAUGAGAAGUUGUACACUUUUCACCACUGUAGAUGACUCCAUUCCUGCAUUUGAAGAAGCACUGAAAUCAAGAAACCAAUUAAUGCAUUCGACGGAUAAUGAGGUAAGCAAAGAUGACAUAUCAAGAAUCUUCGAAGAGCUAACAAAACUUGUCGCCCUUUUCGGUGAUAAAACAUCAAACCAGCAAAAGGAUGUUGUUGAAGACCUGCACAAGCUAAGAGACACUAACCUGUUUGAAAAAGAAGAAACAAAAGAAUAUAACGAUUUAGUUAGUAAGGUGUUACUCAUUAAACAGCAAGCCUUGAAGUUGGAUACUUCAGUGAAUCACAACUUUACAGAAGAAAGUAAAACACAGAGUGAAGACUUGGUUCGAAUGCUGAAAGAGACAACAGCCGAGAUAGCUAUUUUAGAUACGAGACAAUUUCAUGAAAAAAUGAAAGAAGAAGAAGAACGACAACAGGCUCAGUUACAAACCAACAGUGAAACAAAACAACAACAGAAAGAACUGAGAGAAGGAGAAGAACGAAAACAUAUUCAGUUUAAGGAAUUGGGGGUGGACGUUGCAGUAAGUUGCUGUCAAUUCUUAGAAUGUGUCCAUCUUCACCCAGUUUGUUGUGAUAUAGCCAGAUACUGAUGAUCAAUCAGUUCAUCCCUAUUUUUCAAAUUAUACCAUUUUCAAAAGCAAAUUCUAGUUUUCAGUAACUAUAUGUAUUUGUAUGAUCUCGUGUUAUUUAAUAUGCUGCUUUAAAAGUAAGUAUAUUGAAGGAAUGUGUUAAGUUUAUACAUUUUCUAGAUUAAACAAUAAUUUAAUGGUUUUUUAUCCUUUUUUCCAUUUAUCUACAUUUGUAUAUACCUGAAGACGAAACAGAAACAACAACAUGAAAAAAUGAGAGAAGAAGAAGGAGAACAACAACAAACACAAUUGCAAAAAUUACGAACUAACGUUGUAAUGUCCUUGUCCUCGAAAGAAGAACUUCAGACAAACUAUAGGAACACACUUAAACAUAAAACAUCAGAAAACAUGCAUGAUGAAGUGCUAUAUUUACGGGAUAGAAAGUGGAUAACCCCCGAAGGCCCUGCUGACCAGACAAGCACACAUGAGAAUGCAUCUUCUUCUACACUUUCUUCAGAGGAGGAGGAAUGUCCGAUUCCAAUGUCUCAAAUGUCCUUGUCCUCGAAAGAAGAACUUCAGAAAAACUAUAACGACAAACCUGAACAAAUCAGAAAACAUG
rnacentral:misc_RNA from 1 species